UCGGCUUGAUUGGGAUACUCAUCAAUUAACUACAAAAACCGAGACGUGAAUCUCAUUUCAAUGGCGGGCCACAUAAAUCUCACGUGUGGGACUAAGCUUUAAGCCGGUGGAUUACAAAUGAAUGAGAUCGCUCAAUGAUUUAUUCUCGGAGUUUCAUCACAUCGCCGACUCGUUUUUU
rnacentral:sRNA from 1 species